AUUGAACGCUGGCGGAAUGCUUUACACAUGCAAGUCGAACGGCAGCACGGACUUCGGUCUGGUGGCGAGUGGCGAACGGGUGAGUAAUAUAUCGGAACGUGCCCAGUCGUGGGGGAUAACGUAGCGAACGCUACGCUAAUACCGCAUACGAUCUACGGAUGAAAGCGGGGGAUCGCAAGACCUCGCGCGAUUGGAACGGCCGAUAUCAGAUUAGGAAGUUGGCGAGGUAAAGGCCCACCAAGCCGACGAUCUGUAGCUGGUCUGAGAGGACGACCAGCCACACUGGGACUGAGACACGGCCCAGACUCCUACGGGAGGCAGCAGUGGGAAUUUUGGACAAUGGACGCAAGUCUGAUCCAGCCAUUCCGCGUGCAGGACGAAGGCCUUCGGGUUGUAAACUGCUUUUGUACAGAACGAAAAGGUCUCUAUUAAUACUAGGGGCUCAUGACGGUACUGUAAGAAUAAGCACCGGCUAACUACGUGCCAGCCGCCGCAGUAA
rnacentral:rRNA from 1 species